rnacentral:tRNA from 1 species
GGGUCUGUAGCUCAGUUGGUUAGCACACGCUUGAUAAGCGUGGGGUCACAAGUUCAAGUCUUGUCAGACCCACCA